rnacentral:misc_RNA from 1 species
GCUCCGUUGGUGAACCAGCGGAGGGAUCAUUACUGAGUUACUGCUCAACCCCGCACCCGUCCGUUGCCUGGCUCGCCAGAAGAACAUGCUCUGCAGUGGGUCUUAGUGUACGAACGCACAAACUUUCAACAGUGGAUCUCUUGGUUCUGGCAUCGAUGAAGAACGCGC